rnacentral:rRNA from 1 species
AGGGAAUCUUCCACAAUGGACGAAAGUCUGAUGGAGCAACGCCGCGUGAGUGAUGAAGGUUUUCGGAUCGUAAAACUCUGUUGUAAGGGAAGAACCAGUACGUCAGGCAAUGGACGUACCUUGGCGGUACCUUAUUAGAAAGCCACGGCUAACUACGUGCCAGCAGCCGCGGUAAUACGUAGGUGGCAAGCGUUGUCCGGAAUUAUUGGGCGUAAAGGGUGCGUAGGCGGUUUAUCAAGUCAGGGGUGAAAGGCUACGGCUCAACCGUAGUGAGCCUCUGAAACUGGUGAACUUGAGUGUAGGAGAGGAAAGUGGAAUUCCCAGUGUAGCGGUGAAAUGCGUAGAUAUUGGGAGGAACACCAGUGGCGAAGGCGACUUUCUGGACUACAACUGACGCUGAGGCACGAAAGCGUGGGGAGCAAACA